rnacentral:tRNA from 1 species
UCCCUGGUGGCUCAGUGGUAAAGAAUCUGCCUGCAAUUCAGGAGACCCAGGUUCGAGCCCUGGCUUGGGAA